rnacentral:rRNA from 1 species
AUUUUCCGGUUGAUCCUGCCGGACCCGACUGCUAUCAGAGUGGGACUAAGCCAUGCGAGUCAACGCCGCAAGGCGUGGCGUACGGCUCAGUAACACGUAGUCAACAUGCCCAGGGGACGUGGAUAACCUCGGGAAACUGAGGAUAAACCGCGAUAGGCCAAGGCUUCUGGAAUGGGCCAUGGCUGAAAUCUAUACGGCCCCUGGAUUGGACUGCGGCCGAUCAGGCUGUUGGUGAGGUAAUGGCCCACCAAACCUGUAACCGGUACGGGCUUUGAGAGAAGGAGCCCGGAGAUGGGCACUGAGACAAGGGCCCAGGCCCUAUGGGGCGCAGCAGGCGCGAAACCUCUGCAAUAGGCGAAAGCUUGACAGGGUUACUCUGAGUGAUGUCCGCUAAGGGCAUCUUUUGGCACCUCUAAAAAUGGUGCAGAAUAAGGGGUGGGCAAGUCUGGUGUCAGCCGCCGCGGUAAUACCAGCACCCCGAGUGGUCGGGACGAUUAUUGGGCCUAAAGCAUCCGUAGCUUGUUCUGCAAGUCCUCCGUUAAAUCCACCUGCUCAACAGAUGGGCUGCGGAGGAUACUACAGGGCUAGGAGGCGGGAGAGGCAAACGGUACUCAGUGGGUAGGGGUAAAAUCCUCUGAUCCAUUGAAGACCACCAGUGGCGAAGGCGGUUUGCCAGAACGCGCUCGACGGUGAGGGAUGAAAGCUGGGGGAGCAAACCGGAUUAGAUACCCGGGUAGUCCCAGCUGUAAACGAUGCAGACUCGGUGAUGGGUUGGCUUCGAGCCAACCCAGUGCCGCAGGGAAGCCGUUAAGUCUGCCGCCUGGGGAGUACGGUCGCAAGACUGAAACUUAAAGGAAUUGGCGGGGGAGCACCACAAGGGGUGAAGCCUGCGGUUCAAUUGGAGUCAACGCCGGGAA